rnacentral:lncRNA from 1 species
GAACAUGUACAGCCAAAUGAAGGAGCAGAUAACAUAGAUGAAGGUGAAGCUACUACAUCCCAAACUAAAACUGAAACUGAAAUUGUGACACAAGAUAAUCCUGUAAGUGAAACUAGUACCCAAGAUUAUCAAUUUGUGAGAGAUAGGGAAAGGAGACAGAUUAAGCCUAAUCCCAGAUAUGAAGCUAACAAUCUGACUGACUUUGCCCUUAUCACUGGUGAAAACUUAGAACAUGUUGAACCCUUAU